ACUCCUACGGGAGGCAGCAGUGGGGAAUAUUGCACAAUGGGGGAAACCCUGAUGCAGCCAUGCCGCGUGUGUGAAGAAGGCCUUCGGGUUGUAAAGCACUUUCAGUAGGGAGGAAGGUAGUGUAGUUAACACCUGCACUAUUUGACGUUACCUACAGAAGAAGCACCGGCUAACUCCGUGCCAGCAGCCGCGGUAAUACGGAGGGUGCGAGCGUUAAUCGGAAUUACUGGGCGUAAAGCGCAUGCAGGCGGCCUGUUAAGUCAGAUGUGAAAGCCCGGGGCUUAACCUCGGAAUUGCAUUUGAAACUGGCAGGCUAGAGUCUUGUAGAGGGGGGUAGAAUUUCAGGUGUAGCGGUGAAAUGCGUAGAGAUCUGAAGGAAUACCAGUGGCGAAGGCGGCCCCCUGGACAAAGACUGACGCUCAGAUG
rnacentral:rRNA from 1 species